rnacentral:rRNA from 1 species
AUAGAGCAUUGCAAUUAUUGCUCUUCAACGAGGAAUGCCUAGUAAGCGCGUGUCAUCAGCACGCGUUGAUUACGUCCCUGCCCUUUGUACACACCGCCCGUCGCUACUACCGAUUGAAUGGCUCAGUGAGGCCUUCGGACUGGCUCGAGGAGGUUGGCAACGACCACCUCAAGCCGGAAAGUUGGUCAAACUCGGUCAUUUAGAGGAAGUAAAAGUCGUAACAAGGUUUCCGUAGGUGAACCUGCGGAAGGAUCAUUAUCUAUUCCAUGAGGUGCGGUCGCGGCCCUCGGCGGGAGCAACAGCUGCCGUCGGGCGGUAGAGGUAACACUUUCACGCGCCGCAUGUCUGAAUCCUUUUUUUACGAGCACCUUUCGUUCUCCUUCGGCGGGGCAACCUGCCGUUGGAACCUAUCAAAACCUUUUUUUGCAUCUAGCAUUACCUGUUCUGAUACAAACAAUCGUUACAACUUUCAACAAUGGAUCUCUUGGCUCUGGCAUCGAUGAAGAACGCAGCGAAAUGCGAUAAGUAGUGUGAAUUGCAGAAUUCAGUGAAUCAUCGAAUCUUUGAACGCACAUUGCGCCCCUUGGUAUUCCAUGGGGCAUGCCUGUUCGAGCGUCAUCUACACCCUCAAGCUCUGCUUGGUGUUGGGCGUCUGUCCCGCCUCUGCGCGCGGACUCGCCCCAAAUUCAUUGGCAGCGGUCCUUGCCUCCUCUCGCGCAGCACAUUGCGCUUCUCGAGGGGCGCGGCCCGCGUCCACGAAGCAACAUUACCGUCUUUGACCUCGGAUCAGGUA